CCAGCAGAUUUCUUUGGCAUUCUGUCCACCUCCAUAUUCAUUGAUCUAUGUAUCUCACUGUUGUGUAAAUGUGUAAUUAGGGUUUAUUGGUUUGAUAAGAAAAGAGAAAUAAUCUAGUGCAAGAUUUUGUUUUCUUUUUCUUGUGUGUGUAAUCUGUGUUAAGAGUGUGGAGGUGGGCAUACUGUCAAUGGAGCUCUGUUGG
rnacentral:pre_miRNA from 1 species